CUCUGGGUGUACUCCUCAACCUGAUCCGGCGGCGACACGUCAGGGUGGUACUUCCUGGCGAGCUGCUUAUAAGCCUGCUUUAUCUCAAUCAAGGUACCGGACUCAGUAAUUCCCAGCAGCUCAUAGAAGCUCAUGUCGGCGGCGAUUCUUUCCUGCACAGCAGCCUUCGUUUUGAACGACGCGCGUGGGAAACGUGUAACUGGCUUAAAGCGGAGAAUUGGGUCCGACUUGGACGUUACGGUGGGAGAGGCAACAGUGGAGGAGAAGCAGAAGCGAGAGGCAUCGCUUCCAGGGAUGAUUAAGCCAUAGCUACGCAUCUCUCUCUGUUUCUUUUAAGUGGGUUUGUGUAAAAGCUUUCUGUGGUUUCGCACACAGCUCUGUUGGAUUAGAAGAUGAUAUGAAGGGAGGAGAAAGGGAUAGCUCGAGC
rnacentral:misc_RNA from 1 species